rnacentral:tRNA from 1 species
UCCGAGGUAGCUCAAUGGUGGAGCAACCGGCUGUUAACCGGUAGGUUGAGGGGUCGAGUCCCUUCCUAGGAUCCA